AUGUACCUCUUGUUGUUUGUCAGCAAGAGCAGGACAGAAGUUGCAGUUCCCACAGUUCCAGAGCUUGUUGACUUCGUAUUCUCCAGCUGUUUGAAAGAUUUUGAAGACCAUGAAGCCAAAGUGAACGCAUAUGAGUGGCUCGAGCUCCUAAAACUUCAAUUUCAUCCAGGAUUUCUCCUACCAUGAAAUUAAAUGAGUCAGUUCUAUCUUGCCAUGGGAUGUGAUCAUUCUGUU
rnacentral:lncRNA from 1 species